rnacentral:rRNA from 1 species
CCUACGGGCGGCAGCAGUAGGGAAUAUUGCUCAAUGGGGGAAACCCUGAAGCAGCAACGCCGCGUGGAGGAUGAAGGUUUUCGGAUUGUAAACUCCUUUUGUUAGAGAAGAUAAUGACGGUAUCUAACGAAUAAGCACCGGCUAACUCCGUGCCAGCAGCCGCUGUAAUACGGAGGGCGCAAGCGUUACUCGGAAUCACUGGGCGUAAAGGGCGCGUAGGCGGGAUAGCAAGUCAGAUGUGAAAUGCUAUGGCUUAACCAUAGAACUGCAUUUGAAACUGUUAUUCUAGAGUAUGGGAGAGGUAGGUGGAAUGCUUGGUGUAGGGGUAAAAUCCGUAGAGAUCAAGAGGAAUACUCAUUGCGAAGGCGACCUGCUAGAACAUAACUGACGCUGAUGCGCGAAAGCGUGGGGAGCAAACAGGAUUAGAUACCCUGGUAGUC